rnacentral:rRNA from 1 species
GACAGAGGGGGCAAGCGUUGCUCGGAAUUACUGGGCGUAAAGGGCGCGUAGGCGGGACGGUAAGUCGGUCGUGAAAUCCUUCGGCUCAACCGAAGAACGUCGAUCGAUACUGCUGUUCUUGAGGGUUGCAGAGGAGACUGGAAUUCCCGGUGUAGCGGUGAAAUGUGUAGAGAUCGGGAGGAACACCGGUGGCGAAGGCGGGUCUCUGGGCAAUUCCUGACGCUGAGGCGCGAAAGCGUGGGGAGCAAACGGG